UACGUAGGUGACUAGCGUUGUCCGGAUUUACUGGGCGUAAAGAGCGCGCAGGCGGUCGUCAAGUCGAGUGUGAAAGCCCCCGGCUCAACUGGGGAGGGUCACUUGAUACUGAUCGACUCGAAGGCAGGAGAGGGAAGCGGAAUUCCCGGUGUAGUGGUGAAAUGCGCAGAUAUCAGGAGGAACACCUAUUGCGAAGGCAGCUCGCUGGGACGUAACUGACGCUGAGACGCGAAAAGCGUGGGGGAGCAAACAGG
rnacentral:rRNA from 1 species